AUGCUAUUUUUGAUGUACCAUAUGGUACAUUUGUUAUUGUUUCAUUUGAUGUGCCUCCUGCACUUACCGUAUAGCU
rnacentral:tRNA from 1 species